rnacentral:rRNA from 1 species
GAUGAACGCUGGCGGCGUGCCUAAUACAUGCAAGUCGAGCGAACGGACGAGAAGCUUGCUUCUCUGAUGUUAGCGGCGGACGGGGGAGUAACACGUGGAUAACCUACCUAUAAGACUGGGAUAACUUCGGGAAACCGGAGCUAAUACCGGAUGAUAUUUUGAACCGCAUGGUUCAAAAGUGAAAGACGGUCUUGCUGUCACUUAUAGAUGGAUCCGCGCUGCAUUAGCUAGUUGGUAAGGUAACGGCUUACCAAGGCAACGAUGCAUAGCCGACCUGAGAGGGUGAUCGGCCACACUGGAACUGAGACGCGGUCCAGACUCCUACGGGACGCAGCAGUAGGGAAUCUUCCGCAAUGGGCGAGAGCCUGACGGAGCAACGCCGCGUGAGUGAUGAAAGUCUUCGGAUCGUAAAACUCUGUUAUUAGGGAAGAACAUAUGUGGAAGUAACUGUGCACAGCUUGACGGUACCUAAUCAGAAAGCCACGGCUAACUACGUG